rnacentral:rRNA from 1 species
CGAGUUUGAUCAUGGCUCAGGAUGAACGCUAGCGGCAGGCUUAACACAUGCAAGUCGAGGGGUAUGGUUUUCGGACCAAGAGACCGGCGCACGGGUGCGUAACGCGUAUGGCAAUCUACCUUUGCAGAGGGAUAGCCCAGAGAAAUUUGGAUUAAUACCUCAUAGUAUAGUACUUUGGCAUCAAGGAACUAUUAAAGUCACAACGGCAAAAGAUGAGCAUGCGUCCCGUUAGCUAGUUGGUAAGGUAACGGCUUACCAAGGCUACGAUGGGUAGGGGUCCUGAGAGGGAGAUCCCCCACACUGGUACUGAGACACGGACCAGACUCCUACGGGAGGCAGCAGUGAGGAAUAUUGGACAAUGGGCGCAAGCCUGAUCCAGCCAUGCCGCGUGCAGGAUGACGGUCCUAUGGAUUGUAAACUGCUUUUAUACAGGAAGAAACACUCCGACGUGUCGGAGCUUGACGGUACUGUAAGAAUAAGGAUCGGCUAACUCCGUG